rnacentral:sRNA from 1 species
CAAAUCACAAAAAUACCCGAAAAAGUACUUAAAGGUCCAAAUUUGGGAUCGAACAUAAU